rnacentral:siRNA from 1 species
UAAAUGAAAUUUCACACCUGC